rnacentral:rRNA from 1 species
CCAGACUCCUACGGGAGGCAGCAGUGAGGAAUAUUGGUCAAUGGGCGAGAGCCUGAACCAGCCAAGUCGCGUGAAGGACGACGGUUCUAUGGAUUGUAAACUUCUUUUGUAGAGGAAUAACGGUAGCUACGUGUAGCUGAGAUGCAUGUACUCUACGAAUAAGUAUCGGCUAACUCCGUGCCAGCAGCCGCGGUAAUACGGAGGAUACGAGCGUUAUCCGGAAUUAUUGGGUUUAAAGGGUGCGUAGGUGGCGUAUUAAGUCAGUGGUGAAAAGCUGCAGCUCAACUGUAGUCUUGCCGUUGAAACUGAUAUGCUAGAGAGGAGACGAGGUAUGCGGAAUGUGUGGUGUAGCGGUGAAAUGCAUAGAUAUCACACAGAACGCCGAUUGCGAAGGCAGCGUACCAGGCUCCGUCUGACACUGAAGCACGAAAGCGUGGGGAUCAAACAGGAUUAGAUACCCUGGUAGUCCACGCAGUAAACGAUGAAUACUAGAUUUUUGCGAUAUACUGUAAGAGUCUAAGCGAAAGCGAUAAGUAUUCCACCUGGGGAGUACGCCGGCAACGGUGAAACUCAAAGGAAUUGACGGGGGCCCCGCACAAG